AUUGAACGCUGGCGGCAGGCCUAACACAUGCAAGUCGAACGGUAACAGGAAGAAGCUUGCUUCUUUGCUGACGAGUGGCGGACGGGUGAGUAAUGUCUGGGAAACUGCCUGAUGGAGGGGGAUAACUACUGGAAACGGUAGCUAAUACCGCAUAAUGUCGCAAGACCAAAGAGGGGGACCUUCGGGCCUCUUGCCAUCGGAUGUGCCCAGAUGGGAUUAGCUAGUAGGUGGGGUAACGGCUCACCUAGGCGACGAUCCCUAGCUGGUCUGAGAGGAUGACCAGCCACACUGGAACUGAGACACGGUCCAGACUCCUACGGGAGGCAGCAGUGGGGAAUAUUGGACAAUGGGCGCAAGCCUGAUGCAGCUAUGCCGGGUGGAUGAAGAAGGCCUUCGGGUUGUAAAGUACUUUUAUGGGGGAGGAAGGGAGUAAAGUUAAUACCUUUGCUCAUUGACGUUACCCGAAGAAGAAGCACCGGCUAACUCCGUG
rnacentral:rRNA from 1 species